AUGGAGAACGGCAACGCCUUCCCUUCCGGCGUCGGCAGGGACACUUUGCCCCAGGAUUCCCCUGCCGGGAUGAGGGUCCUCGUGGUGGAGGACGACCCGAACGACCUCGUGCACUUGACGCAAAUCCUUGAGAGGUGCGGCUACAAAGUGACGGCGAAAGCGUCACCAAGGGAAGCGCUGAAAGAGGUGGAGGAGAAUGGAGAGGGCUUCCACUUCGACAUCAUCAUGACCGUCGUGCACGGUGGCGAAGAAGGAGAUAGAUUCGAUGGCUUCGACCUCCUCGAGCGCGUUCGGGAUCGUUACCCAGUCAUCAUUUUCUCCGCCGACUAUUCCAAGAAGAUGGUGAUGAGGACAAUCAAUGAAGGCGCCUGCGACUUCAUGCCAAAGCCGAUGUGCUACCAGGAGGUGCGCAAUAUUUGGUUCCAUGUCAUGCAGAGGGGAUCAGAAGUCGACGACCCUGACGAGGGGGAAGAAGGACCUAGCAACAAUGAGAAUCACCCUGAGAUCAAAUAG
rnacentral:rRNA from 1 species